UUAGUGGAAGCGUCUGGAAAGGCGCGCGAUACAGGGUGACAGCCCCGUACACAAAAGCGCAUGUGCUGUGAGCUCGAUGAGUAGGGCGGGACACGUGGUAUCCUGUCUGAAUAUGGGGGGACCAUCCUCCAAGGCUAAAUACUCCUGACUGACCGAUAGUGAACCAGUACCGUGAGGGAAAGGCGAAAAGAACCCCGGCGAGGGGAGUGAAAAAGAACCUGAAACCGUGUACGUACAAGCAGUGGGAGCACCCUUUGGGGUGUGACUGCGUACCUUUUGUAUAAUGGGUCAGCGACUUAUAUUCUGUAGCAAGGUUAACCGAAUAGGGGAGCCGGAGGGAAACCGAGUCUUAACCGGGCGUUAAGUUGCAGGGUAUAGACCCGAAACCCGGUGAUCUAGCCAUGGGCAGGUUGAAGGUUGGGUAACACUAACUGGAGGACCGAACCGACUAAUGUUGAAAAAUUAGCGGAUGACCUGUGGCUGGGGGUGAAAGGCCAAUCAAACCGGGAGAUAGCUGGUUCUCCCCGAAAGCUAUUUAGGUAGCGCCUCGUGAAUU
rnacentral:rRNA from 1 species